GUCAUUUUAUAACAUAAGUUUCGCCAGCCCUCUUGCAGCAUUAUAGCCCCUUGUAUAAGCUCUAGGUUUAGUUGGUUUUACAGCACCCACAGGUACCUAGUCAUUGUAUUCGUUGCUCAAAAAGUAUCAAGGCAAACGAUAACAAACUAUUGAUCAGACAACUCGAGAUAAAAUUCAAUUUAUGCAUUAUUUUCAAUUGUCA
rnacentral:misc_RNA from 1 species